AUGAGCAACCUGAUGGUAGAUACAGUCUCUCUGAUAGAAGGUACAUCUACACCUGAGAGCCCAAGGAAGCUGGGAAGGAAAGCAGUGGGAAGUGAGUCCAGCUGGGAUUGUGAGAGCUGGUGGAGGGGCUUGCAGACAAACUGCUGCUGAGUCAGGGACUGCCCAGCCCAGGAGUGGAGAAAACUCCUCCAGCAGAAUACCAGAAAGUACUAACAAAUUCUGCUGUGAGCCAAAAGAAGGGGCUUACAGAGGGCAGAGCUGACAGAUGGGAGAAGGUGUAGCAAAGGCCCAAGACAGGGAGAGGUAGGAAGAGGUCUAAGAAGGCAGCUAGAGGGUCAUGUACACUGGCCCUGACUACCUAUUCAAGGGUGCCUAGACUGGAACCCAGUGGAGAGGGAAGGCCCGGGUUUCCCUAUCAGCUGACUGAGGACUGUGGGGAAAUGCCCUCAGCAAGGAGUUAUGACUAGUGAAACUUCCCUGAUGCUAUGGGUAAGGGCUAGUGAGUCCAGACGCGGACUGAGAGUUGACUACUAUGUUUUGGAUUUACCCUGAAAGGGGUGGAAUUAUAUGUGACUCAGGUAGAAUAGCAAAAGGCAGACCACAGUAUGGCUGGAAGAGCUGUCAGCAGGGGGUGCUGUAGGAGGCCUGCAAAGUCUCACCCCAGAAUUAGGAGAUCUGCAUUGUGCUGGCUGGUGAGUCACACACUUACACCCUUCAAUCACUGAGGACAGUUUAUAAAACAGAUGACAAGUUGUGACACAAAUACACUUCUUUUAGCACAGAACAGCCAAGGAGAGAGCCUGAGGUGUUACACAAUGCAGGAGUGUGAUGGAGUGUUCACCUCACACUUUCCCCAGAGGCUGAGAAAGGGCCAAUUAACUGGAUAGGCCCCAUCUGAGGGAAAUUAGAUGGGGAUGAAGCCCAGCUGAGAAGGAAUAGGUAGGGCUAGUAUAAAGCCAGCAAGCUGGCAGAAGAAAAGAGGCUGGAGUGAGGGUGUCUGUAAACACUAGAGCAGAAAGGAAGGAUGCCUAAAUGGAGAUGUAGGAAAAAGCUCAGGGAAAUAGAAGUGAUGUUUAAGACCUUGGCUGCUGAUUAGAAGGUCCUGGAACUAGAACCGAGAGGGUGGGCCUGGUUCACCUCCCAGCCACUGGUGAAGUGGCACAGUGAGGGAGAAGACUGACAUUUUUGGAGAGAGAUACUUUGAGAACCCCUGGAAGGGGAAAAUACACAGUGAGGUGGCUGGAGGACCAAGCCACAAAGAGAGAUCACUGAGUCACAGAGAGAGGUGGCAGGGCUCAUGAAUGAGCGACAGAAGGGAGCGUUGGACUGAUGAGGAGCUAAUCCCUGAACAGCCAGGAGGAGGUGCCCUAGCGUGACUUUCUGUUGGGUGUGAUGUUGAAAGUGGCUGGGUUACUGAACUGUGUGAUGGACCCAGGAGGAAGGCUCAAAACCAGAAUAGUGCGAGACAACCCCAGAAGAAAGUUGCAGACUCUUCUCUACUGCUGCUGUAGCAGAGGUGGAAAGAAUCACAGUGACGCUAAUGUGAGGAGAAAGAAGGAAGCAGGGAGGAAACCACAGAAUACAGAGUAGCCACUGUAAAGAAGAUACAAUUCAGCUGCUGCACAGAGCCACAUAUGCCUUGAAUCUCUGCCUCAUUUUCUUUCAUCUCUCCCCUUUAUGGAAAAAAGAAGGAAAAAAAAUUUUUUUGCAACCCUCAAGACAACAAUCACACACUAACUGAAACUAACAGAGCAACAUUUGUAUUGCCACAGCCUGGUUCCCCAAUAACCUCUCCAUAUACUAUUUGCAUUUCAAUAGACCUUCAAGCUUCCAGUAAUUGUUGUGGAGGGUAAAAAGGCUACUAUUUAUUAGACUUACAUCAGCUUUGGCAAGUCUGAGAAGAUAACAGUAACAUUGAUAGCAGCUGACCUGAAUCAUGACAGCAUAUUGUUUGCAGUUCUGUAUGAGUCUGGG